AGUGGCGGACGGGUGAGUAACACGUAAGAAUUUGCCUUUAGGAGGGGGACAACAACUGGAAACGGUUGCUAAUACCCCAUAUGCUUUCGAGUAAAAUGGAUUUCCGCCUAAAGAGAAGCUUGCGGCUGAUUAGCUUGUUGGUAGGGUAAUGGCCUACCAAGGCGACGAUCAGUAUCUGGUUUGAGAGGACGAUCAGACACACUGGAACUGAGACACGGUCCAGACUCCUACGGGAGGCAGCAGUAGGGAAUUUUCCGCAAUGGGCGAAAGCCUGACGGAGCAAUACCGCGUGAGGGAUGAAUGCCUAUGGGUUGUAAACCUCUUUUUUCGGGGAGGAAUAAAUGACGUGUACCUGAAGAAUAAGCAUCGGCUAACUCCGUGCCAGCAGCCGCGGUAAGACGGAGGAUGCAAGUGUUAUCCGGAAUCACUGGGCGUAAAGCGUCUGUAGGUGGCUUAAUAAGUCAACUGUUAAAUCUUGAAGCUCAACUUCAAAAUCGCAGUCGAAACUAUUAGACUAGAGUAUAGUAGAGGUAAAGGGAAUUUCCAGUGGAGCGGUGAAAUGCGUAGAGAUUGGAAAGAACACCGAUGGCGAAGGCACUUUACUGGGCUAUUACUGACACUCAGAGACGAAAGCUAGGGUAGCAAAUGGGAUUAGAUACCCCAGUAGUCCUAGCCGUAAACAAUGGAUACUAGGUGUUGA
rnacentral:rRNA from 1 species